rfam:Rattus norvegicus chromosome 4, whole genome shotgun sequence.
GGGGAUUUAGCUCAGUGGUAGAGCGCUUGCCUAGCAAGUUCGAAGCCCUGGGUUCGGUCCCCAGCUCCG